rnacentral:rRNA from 1 species
UACGUAGGGUGCAAGCGUUGUCCGGAAUUAUUGGGCGUAAAGAGCUUGUAGGCGGUUUGUCGCGUCUGCUGUGAAAUUUCGGGGCUCAACCCCGAACUUGCAGUGGGUACGGGCAGACUAGAGUGCGGUAGGGGAGACUGGAAUUCCUGGUGUAGCGGUGGAAUGCGCAGAGUAAUCAGGAGGAACACCGGUGGCGAAGGCGGGUCUCUGGGCAGUAACUGACGCUGAGGAGCGAAAGCGUGGGGGAGCGAACAGGA